UCAUAAAUUAAUUAAUAAACUGGAGUUUUACAAAAUUAAUAAACGGAUGAAUUUUUUUUUUUAGAUCGGAAGUAAUGGAGAAAGAGGGAUAAUUGGAUUUUUUGAAAAAAUUAAAGAAAAAAGAAUUUUUUUCAUUUUUUUAUCAUUAAAAAUGUUGAUUUGGCAUAAAAAUACCUCCAUCACGCGCGUGAUGGAGGUUGAACUCCAAUAUUUUGCCACAUUAGCGUAAAAGGGUCACACGACGUACUAAAAGAACAAGUUUGGGAGUACUUAGGCUAGUAAAACGUGUACAUAAAUAAAAUGUAAAAAUUUCAGGGUAAUCAUACUUCUCUCUUUUUUAAAUGAACCUGUAAAAGGAAUUUCCUUCUUCAACAUUCCAAUUGGUUCUCACAAUAUCCAUGAACCCUUCAUUUUUUAUCCAGAAAGCCAAGAAUUUGAAGGGUUUAUAAAACUGUUGCUUGUUUUUCUUCAUAGUAAUCGUCAUUGGGGCAUAUGGUCAGACCCAAUUCUGGCCAAGUGCUCCACCUCCACAUCUUCAAACCAAUCUUGUCAUUGUUGAUUUAUUACUAUUCUAUUCAAUCUCUUAAAAGUACAGUUGGGACCAGCUCUACCAUUCCACCAUGUGAAGGGGACUUUGAAAACAGUUUCAAAGGGUUCACAAGAGUUCAAUAAAAAUGCAAACUCCUCAUAUUCAUUUGAAAACAGUUUCAAAGGGUUCACAAGAGUUCAAUAAAAAUGCAAACUCCUCAUAUUCAUUUGGAAGGACAUGAAGACCGCCAAUUUUCUCCUCUCCAUUCAUAAUCACAUGGAAAUCUCCUCCACCAAGCCAAGAAAUUGAAAAAUGCUAGGCUUCCUCAAUGUCAAUCAGCAAGGACUACAGAUUUACGCUUGCAGACAGAAAAGGAAACCUUUAAGAAGCUUCCAUGCCAUGCGUCGUGAAACAUACUGGACAGCCAAUCUUUCCAGGACGCGUCUUGUAGUUACAACAGCAGUCUGACAAGAAGAUACAUAACAUUAAUUGCACACAAUCUUUCAAUGUACAAUUUCAGAGUGUAUAAUAUGCAAGUUUGAAGCAUAAACAGAAAGCACAUUUUUUAAAAGUAACAGAAAUAAACAGUUAUUUUUAAUUACUCAUA